rnacentral:rRNA from 1 species
CCUACGGGGGGCAGCAGUGAGGAAUAUUGGUCAAUGGGCGGGAGCCUGAACCAGCCAAGUCGCGUGAGGGAAGACGGUCCUACGGAUUGUAAACCUCUUUUGCCGGGGAGCAACGGGGUCCUUGCGAGGGCCCGAUGAGAGUACCCGGAGAAAAAGCAUCGGCUAACUCCGUGCCAGCAGCCGCGGUAAUACGUAGGGGGCGAGCGUUGUCCGGAAUCACUGGGCGUAAAGGGCGCGUAGGCGGUUUAAUAAGUCAGUGGUGAAAACUGAGGGCUCAACCCUCAGCCUGCCACUGAUACUGUUAG